rnacentral:rRNA from 1 species
ACUCCUACGGGAGGCAGCAGUGGGGAAUUUUGGACAAUGGGGGCAACCCUGAUCCAGCCAUGCCGCGUGAGUGAAGAAGGCCUUCGGGUUGUAAAGCUCUUUCGGCCGGGAAGAAAUCGCGGGCGCUAAUACCCUGCGUGGAUGACGGUACCGGACUAAGAAGCACCGGCUAACUACGUGCCAGCAGCCGCGGUAAUAA